rnacentral:rRNA from 1 species
AGGCGUGGCUUCCGGAGCUAACGCGUUAAGUCGACCGCCUGGGGAGUACGGCCGCAAGGUUAAAACUCAAAUGAAUUGACGGGGGCCCGCACAAGCGGUGGAGCAUGUGGUUUAAUUCGAUGCAACGCGAAGAACCUUACCUGGUCUUGACAUCCACGGAAGUUUUCAGAGAUGAGAAUGUGCCUUCGGGAACCGUGAGACAGGUGCUGCAUGGCUGUCGUCAGCUCGUGUUGUGAAAUGUUGGGUUAAGUCCCGCAACGAGCGCAACCCUUAUCCUUUGUUGCCAGCGGUCCGGCCGGGAACUCAAAGGAGACUGCCAGUGAUAAACUGGAGGAAGGUGGGGAUGACGUCAAGUCAUCAUGGCCCUUACGACCAGGGCUACACACGUGCUACAAUGGCGCAUACAAAGAGAAGCGACCUCGCGAGAGCAAGCGGACCUCAUAAAGUGCGUCGUAGUCCGGAUUGGAGUCUGCAACUCGACUCCAUGAAGUCGGAAUCGCUAGUAAUCGUGGAUCAGAAUGCCACGGUGAAUACGUUCCCGGGCCUUGUACACACCGCCCGUCACACCAUGGGAGUGGGUUGCAAAAGAAGUAGGUAGCUUAACCUUCGGGAGGGCGCUUACCACUUUGUGAUUCAUGACUGGGGUGAAGUCGUAACAAGGUAACCGUAGGGGAACCUGCGGUUGGAUCACCUCCUUACCUUAAAGAAGC